rnacentral:tRNA from 1 species
UGACAGGUAGCCUAUUGGUAAGGCAGCGCACUGUUAAUGCGUACAAAUGUAGGUUCAAAUCCUACCCUGUCAGCCA